UACGUAGGGUGCAAGCGUUGUCCGGAUUUAUUGGGCGUAAAGAGCUCGUAGGCGGCUUGGCAAGUCGGGUGUGAAAACUUCAGGCUCAACCUGGAGAUGCCACCCGAUACUGCUAUGGCUUGAGUCCGGUAGGGGACCACGGAAUACCUGGUGUAGCGGUGGAAUGCGUAGAUAUCGGGAGGAACACCAGUGGCGAAGGCGGCUUCCUGGACCGGUUCUGACACUGAGGAGCGAAAGCGUGGGGAGCGAGUCCGG
rnacentral:rRNA from 1 species